GUUGACCUCGGAUCAGGUAGGAAUACCCGCUGAACUUAAGCAUAAU
rnacentral:rRNA from 1 species